rnacentral:rRNA from 1 species
GAGACAUUGUUUGGUGGGUAGUUUGACUGGGGUGGUCGCCUCCAAAAGAGUAACGGAGGCUUCUAAAGGUUCCCUCAACACGGUUGGCAAUCGUGUGUAGAGUGUAAUGGCAUAAGGGAGCUUGACUGAGAGACCUACAAGUCGAUCAGGUACGAAAGUAGAGCAUAGUGAUCCGGUGGUUCCGUAUGGAAGGGCCAUCGCUCAAAGGAUAAAAGGUACUCCGGGAUAACAGGCUGAUCUCCCCCAAGAGCUCAUAUCGACGGGGGGGUUUGGCACCUCGAUGUCGGCUCGUCGCAUCCUGGGGCUGGAGUAGGUCCCAAGGGUUGGGCUGUUCGCCCAUUAAAGCGGUACGCGAGCUGGGUUCAGAACGUCGUGAGACAGUUCGGUCCCUAUCUGCCGUGGACGUUGGAGAUUUGAGGAAAGCUGCUCCUAGUACGAGAGGACCGGAGUGGACGAACCUCUGGUGUUCGGGUUGUGACGCCAGUCGCAUUGCCCGGUAGCUAUGUUCGGACAGGAUAACCGCUGAAAGCAUCUAAGCGGGAAGCACGCUUCGAGAUGAGGGUUCCCG